rnacentral:SRP_RNA from 1 species
GCCAGGCGUGGUGGCACAUGCCUGUAGUCCCAGCUAUUUGGGAGGCUGAGGCUGGAGGAUCUCUUGAGUCCAGGAGUUCUGGGCUGUAGUGCGCUAUGCCGAUCGGAUGUCCACCCUAAGUUCAGCAUCAAUAAGGUGACCUCCCGGGAGCAGGGGACCACCAGGUUGCCUAAGGAGGGGUGAACUGGCCCAGGUCAGAAACGGAGAAGAUCAAAACUCCUGUGCUGAUCAGUAGUGGGAUCACACCUGUGAAUAGCGACUGCACUCCAGCCUGGGCAACAUAGCAAGACCCCGUCUCU